rnacentral:rRNA from 1 species
GACGAACGCUGGCGGCGUGCCUAAUACAUGCAAGUUGAGCGCUGAAGGUUGGUACUUGUACCGACUGGCUGAGCAGCGAACGGGUGAGUAACGCGUGGGGAAUCUGCCUUUGAGCGGGGGACAACAUUUGGAAACGAAUGCUAAUACCGCAUAAAAACUUUAAACACAAGUUUUAAGUUUGAAAGAUGCAAUUGCAUCACUCAAAGAUGAUCCCGCGUUGUAUUAGCUAGUUGGUGAGGUAAAGGCUCACCAAGGCGAUGAUACAUAGCCGACCUGAGGGGGUGAUCGGCCACAUUGGGACUGAGACACGGCCCAAACUCCUACGGGAGGCAGCAGUAGGGAAUCUUCGGCAAGAGACGAAAGUCUGACCGAGCAACGCCGCGUGAGUGAAGAAGGUUUUCGGAUCGUAAAACUCUGUUGGUAGAGAAGAACGUUGGUGAGAGUGGAAAGCUCAUCAAGUGACGGUAACUACCCAGAAAGGGACGGCUAACUACGUG